GCCAAAAUGGCGGCUCGAUCGCGAAGUCAUUCUCGGACGUCAAUUAUAUAAUAAGUUCCAGACUUUACUGUAAUUAUAGUUUCAGUUGGCAGGUUUCAGUUCGUUUGAGCUGAUAAACCUUCAAUGUACAGUAUAUAUAGUUCAGUUGUACUGUAAUACAUGCAUCUACAUGCAUCUACAUACACCAAUUGAAAAAUGAAAUAUAAAGUCUAACAAAAGAUCAAAGAGGUAAGAUAAAACAGUCUU